rnacentral:rRNA from 1 species
AGUGAACGUUGGCGGCGUGGAUUAGGCAUGCAAGUCGCGCGGAAAGGCCCCGCAAGGGGCACUCGAGCGGCGAAAGGGAUAGUAACGCGUGGGUAACCUACCCCCAGGACCGGGAUAGCUGCGGGAAACUGCAGGGAAUACCGGAUAACGUCUCCGGACCAAAGGUGUGAUUCCGCCCGGGGAGGGGCCCGCGUCCUAUUAGCUAGUUGGCAGGGUAACGGCCUACCAAGGCAAAGAUGGGUAGGGGGUGUGAGAGGCUGACCCCCAUCACUGGGACUGGCACCCUGCCCAGACACCGACGGGUGGCUGCAGUCGAGAAUUUUCGGCAAUGCGCGCAAGCCUGACCGAGCGACGCCGCGUGCGGGAUGAAGGCCCUCGGGUUGUAAACCGCUGUCGGAGGGAAAGAAAUGCCAGGGGGUUCUCCCUCUGGUUUGACUGACCCUUAGAGGAAGUACGGGCUAAGUUCGUGCCAGCAGCCGCCGUAAUAC